CCAAAGAAUUAGAAGGCCAGUCUGGCAUGAAUGCAUGUCAGGAUGCCUGCCAAUCAUGCAGCUGGCCAUACUAUGCAGACAGCACCCUGAGCUUGGCAUAAAUGCAUCUAAUUAUGCGCUCACUCAACGCUUUCUAAGGACUGUUUCCUAGCACUCGCUGGUCCACUUGUCUUCUUACCUUCUUACUAGCAGGCAGAAGCUCCUGGUAUAUAGUCUGGGACAGAGAAAAGCUGUAUGUAGUGAGUGUAGAAGAAAUGGAACAUGCCACAGUGUUAGAGAGACCAAAGUCAGCAUUACCUUAAAGGAUCACUAUAGGGUCAGGAACACAAACAUGAAUUCAUGACCCUAUAGUGUUAACACCAC